ACAACGACAGCACAAACAAAAGCCACUGAAAUGUCGCAACAAGACCAAAAACUAAAAAAAGUCCUCAUUUAAACCAGGAAAAAAAAUACGUGGCACCUCUUCACCCUCCCACCUAGUCACCUAUUACCUACCCAACCAAGAUGGGCCCCAUUCCCACCCAAUACCCCCCGGGUACUUGCAAUUUCUUUUUCUCUUAGCACCUCGAAUAUAUCUGCAUUUUAUCGUUAUUUCAUCCGCCACAAAUUUAAGCUACUCUCCGUUUUACCGGAUUAAUUAUCUGUCAUUCUCAUUCUAAUGAUUUAAUAACUGACUAUGAUUAUCCCCUUCUCAUUAGAUAACCCUGCGACCCUAUCCAUGUUGCAGGUUUCCUCCUACAAGAUACAGAGGUCAGUACUGGGCAUAAUAGGUGUGAUCUGAAACCGGCAACCGGAGAAAAACCGGUAAAAAUAAACAAAAACAACGAUGAAACCAAAGCGACUCAAAAAAGGAAACCGAACCGAGUCGGUUAACUGGCGAGUCAACUCACCGAAAACUCGGCACUGGUCGCAGUACACAGAUCUGGAUCUGGCAACAUCCUCCUCCACGAUGUCGAGGCACACCGCCGCCGCACCACCGGACUCCGCACCCCCUUCGCCGGCGACGUCGCCAACACGGAAGAGGAUCUGCCAUGUCAGCAGAUGAGGGAAGAGCGCGGAAGGCGGCGGGAGAAGCGCGUGCUUCGUAAGGAAGGAUCGGACGGCAGAUCUGAAGGGAGCGCCGGCGAAGCCCUCGUGGGCGGCGAGUGAUGGGGAGGGGAACGAGAGAAAGUCGUAGAAAUCAGCCGUGACUCUCCUCUUCAUGCGCUUCAGAGGCUUCCCUCCACUAACGACCAUGAUCGAGGAGGAAGAGACGGUGGCUGGCGCGUGGUCCAGUGUGUGCGGCGCGUGGGGCGAGAUCUCGUCGGGGAAAGGCCAAAAUAUUGUAGAUCUGGAUGUGUAGGUGAAAGAAAUGGACGGCAGAGAGUGGUGGAGGAAAUGAAA